UACGAAGGGGGCAAGCGUUGUUCGGAAUUACUGGGCGUAAAGCGCGUGUAGGCUGCUUCGCAAGUCGGAUGUGAAAGCCCUGGGCUCAACCCAGGAAGUGCAUUCGAAACUGCAGAGCUGGAGUCCUGGAGAGGAAGGCGGAAUUCUCGGUGUAGAGGUGAAAUUCGUAGAUAUCGAGAGGAACACCGGUGGCGAAGGCGGCCUUCUGGACAGUGACUGACGCUGAGGCGCGACAGCGUGGGGAGCAAACAGG
rnacentral:rRNA from 1 species